GUAUAGCAUGGGUUACUUCAGCGUCGUAAUGUCCGAUACUCGAACAUUGGCUCGGGACAUUUUUUCUACCCCUUCUUACCCCGACAAAGCAGGAACACCUUGCGUCCUUGAACCGAUAACCAUCUUUCGGCUAACCUAACCUCCUCCGUCCUUCGGGACCCACAAGUGGUAUUACAGG